rnacentral:rRNA from 1 species
AGGGUUUGAUCAUGGCUCAGAUUGAACGCUGGCGGUAGGCUUAACACAUGCAAGUCGUGCGAGAAAGUAUCUUCGGAUAUGAGUAGAGCGGCGGACGGGUGAGUAACGCGUAGGAAUCUACCUAGUAGAAGGGGAUAGCCCGGGGAAACCCGGAUUAAUACCGUAUACCUCCUUCGGGAGAAAGAAGGCCUCUCUUUGAAGCUUUCGCUAUUAGAUGAGCCUGCGUAAGAUUAGCUUGUUGGUGAGGUAAAGGCUUACCAAGGCGACGAUCUUUAGCUGGUCUGAGAGGACGAUCAGCCACAUUGGGACUGAGACACGGCCCAGACUCCUACGGGAGGCAGCAGUGGGGAAUAUUGGACAAUGGGCGCAAGCCUGAUCCAGCCAUACCGCGUGUGUGAAGAAGGCCUUCGGGUUGUAAAGCACUUUAAGCAGGGAGAAAAAGUUAUAAGUUAAUACCUUAUAACCGUGAUGUUACCUGCAGAAUAAGCACCGGCUAAUUCCGUGCCAGCCGCCGCGGUAAUAC